rnacentral:rRNA from 1 species
CAGUAGCCGCGGGAAUACGUAGGUGGCAAGCGUUGUCCGGAAUUAUUGGGCGUAAAGGGCUCGCAGGCGGUUUCUUAAGUCUGAUGUGAAAGCCCCCGGCUCAACCGGGGAGGGUCAUUGGAAACUGGGAAACUUGAGUGCAGAAGAGGAGAGCGGAAUUCCACGUGUAGCGGUGAAAUGCGUAGAGAUGUGGAGGAACACCAGUGGCGAAGGCGACUCUCUGGUCUGUAACUGACGCUGAGGAGCGAAAGCGUGGGGAGCGAACAGGAUUAGAUACCCCUGUAGUCCCUGUCUCUUAUAC